UUGUAGUCUUUCCACGCCCUCUUUC
rnacentral:misc_RNA from 1 species